UGCGAAGUAUGGAACCCUGCACAGACGGGGAAGCCUUAGCAUUGAACUGUUGUGUUGUUAAAGAGUGAAGUAUGGAACCCUGUUCCAGCGGAAGCGUGCUGGGCCCAUAACCAAUUGUCAGAGUAAUUCGCAGCGUAGCAGCAGUUGUAUGUUGUCAAUGGAGCGCAGAAACGAAGAGACGUCAGAAACGAUGUUAAAAAGUAUAUACAGAGUUUUACUAUACAAGACAAAACAGAAUUGCAGACGAGCACAGGCUUGGCUUUCACUCUAGGCAGACACAAACUCAGAGCCAUUGAGCCUCAGCCAUUGACGGGAAAGGUACAAAAGACUUUGCUGAAAGAACUUUGUAAUGCUUUUUCUCCUCCUCCUCUUCCUCCACCACUUCCUCCUCCUCCUCUUCCUUCUCUUCCUCUUCCUUCUCUUCCUCCGCUUCCUCCUCUUCCGCAGGGUCCGGCUGCAGUCUUUGAGCACCUGAGGCCUGGUUGCGGAGCAGACGCGCAGGCGGAGGCCGUGACGCGGCCAAGAAGGAGGAGCUGCAGUCGGAGCUCCCAGCUGCGCCUCCACCUGCACGAGCCCCGCCGCGGCCGCAUCGAGAAGGACGUCUUCCACCUCCGGGCCGCGGAGCUGCGCCUGCACAGCGAGCGCCUGGUGCGCCACUGCGCGGGGGUGGUGGAGGCGCUGCACAAGGAGCGCGGGGCCUUCCUGCGCCUGCGCGACGAGCAGAACCAGCUCAGCCGGACCUUCCGCCUCCGCAUCCAGGACAUGGAGAACGUCUUCCUCACCGAGAGCCGGGCCGACAGGUCAGGGGUGGGCGGCAAAGGGUGGGAGGACAGGAGGACGGGAGGCAAGACCCGCUCGUCCAUUUCCUCCUUCCUUUCCUCUUCGCUCCAGGCUGGUCCACCUCAGCAACAACCUGCACGUGGAGCUGCUGAACCACGUGGAAGUCAUGCAGGUCUCCCUGCGCAGCUACCGCUACUACCUGGAGGAGGCCUCGGGAAGCUGCGCGAGGCCAACACCGAAUUCCUGCGCAGCUGCAGGUGCACACACCUCUUCCGUCAGAAAUAUUACAAAUUAACUAGGUAUUUUUAAUUGCAA
rnacentral:lncRNA from 11 species